CGGCUUGUAAGAACUGUUGAGUCAGUCAAAAUCGAUUAGUUAUAAAUAUUUUUGCAAUUGACGAAGCAAGUCAAAAGCUAAACUGGACGCGGGGGCAGUACCCGCCGCCUCCACCAUAAGCACAGCCACCGGUGUGGUAAAAUAAGAGCUGUGCUUAUGAUGGGGGCGAAAUAGGAUCGACAGGUAGUGUAUAGAUAAGUGGAGAUUGCCGGAGGCGAACGCGUAAUAGUCGCAAACUUGUAAAUGCAAACGAUAACUUUGCACCUGUAGAGUACGCUAACGCAGCGUAGUUCUAAUGAGCCCGAGGGAGCUUGGAAACAGAAUCCCUCACC
rnacentral:tmRNA from 1 species